rnacentral:rRNA from 1 species
GGAAUCUUGCGCAAUGGGCGAAAGCCUGACGCAGCAACGCCGCGUGCGGGAAGAAGGCUUUCGGGCUGUAAACCGCUUUCAGUAGGAACGAAACUGACGGUACCUACAGAAGAAGGAGCGGCCAACUAUGCGCCAGCAGCCGCGGUGACACAUAGGCUCCAAGCGUUGUCCGGAUUUAUUGGGCGUAAAGAGCUCGUAGGCGGUUGAGUAAGUCGGGUGUGAAAACUUUGGGCUUAACCCAAAGAUGCCACUCGAUACUGCUUUGACUUGAGUUCGGUAGGGGAGUGGGGAAUUCCUUGUGUAGCGGUGAAAUGCGCAGAUAUAAGGAGGAACACCGGUGGCGAAGGCGCCACUCUGGGCCGAUACUGACGCUGAGGAGCGAAAGCGUGGGGAGCAAACAGGAUUAGAUACCCUGGUAGUCCACGCGGUAAACGGUGGUCACUAGGUGUGGGUCUCUUCAAACGAGAUCUGCGCCGUCGCUAACGCAUUAAGUGACCCGCCUGGGGAGUACGGUCGCAAGACUAAAACUCAAAGGAAUUGACGG